CCGGCAAUGGGAGGUUCCUGGUGAGGCAAACAGGUCUACCUGAGCCUCUCCGAACUCUCUCCAAAUCAGCUGGACCACCUGGGGGUGGAGUCGCCACUCUCCUGGCCGUGCAGCUCGUGAUAGCUCGUCGGCCACACGGUUGAGCACACUGGGAAUAUGAAUGGCACGAAGCGACCUCAGAUGCUUCUGACUCCAGAGGAGGAGAUGGCGGGCGAGUUGCGACAUGCGACAGGAGCGUAGACCACCUUGACGGUUGAUGUACGCAACGGUCGCAGUGUUGUCCGUACGGACCAGUACAUGCUUGCCCCGUAGCGGCCCUUUGAGGCGGCUCAGGGCAAGGUGUACCGCUAGCAACUCGAGGCAGUUGAUGUGCCAAUGCAGAUGGGGGCCCGUCCACACCCCUGACACUGCAUGCCCGUUGUACGUGGCACCACAGCCUGUGGCAGAGGCAUCUGUGAAUACCACAGCAUGCCGGGACACCUGCUCUAGGGGUACUCCAGCCCGAAGAAACAAGGGGUCCGACCACGGGCUGAAGGUUUGGCGGCACUCCUGAGUGAUUGCCACCCGGAACGUGCCGCGUUGCCACGCCCAUCUCGGGACCCGGCCGUGGAGCCAGUGUUGAAGCGGUCUCAUAUGAAGCAGACUGAGCGGGGUUACUGCCGCUGCGGCUGCCAUAUGCCCCAGGAGCCUCUGAAAAAAAAUUUCAGUGGAACCGCUGUCCUGCCGUUGAACGCAUUCAGGCAGUUCAACACCGACUGAGCACGUUCCUCUGUGAGGCGUGCUAUCUGUUCGACCGAAUCCAACUCCAUACCGAGAAAAGAGAUCCUCUGCACCGGGGCGAGUUUGCUCUUUUCCCAGUUGACCUGAAGACCCAACUGGCUGAGGUGUCUGAGCACCAAAUCCCUGUGUUCGCACAACUGAUCCCGGGACUGUGCUAGAAUGAGCCAGUCGUCGAGAUAGUUGAGGAUGCGAACACCCUGUUCUCUCAUGGGAACAAGGGCUCCCUCCACGACCUUCGUGAAGACGCGGGGAGACAGGGCCAGCCCGAAGGGUAGGACUCUGUACUGAUAUGCUCGACCUUCGAACACAAAACGCAGGAAUGGCCUGUGUCGCGGAAGAAUCGAAACAUGAAAGUACGCGUCCUUCAGGUCGAUCGCUGCAAACCAAUCCUGGGGACGGAUGCACUCGAAAAUGCAUUUCUGCGUGAGCAUUUUGAACGGUAGCUUGUGAAGGCUCCGAUUCAAAACUCGCAGAUCCAGGAUCGGUCGUAACCCACCGCUUUUCUUGGGUACAAUGAAGUAGGGACUGUAGAACCCUGACCUCAUAUCAGCUGGAGGGACCGGCUCUAUCGCGUCCUUCGCCAGUAGGACCGCGAUCUCCGCACGCAAGACACGGGCAUCGACAGCCUUCACUGCAGUGAGGUGGACACCCCUGAACUUGGGGGGGACGCCGGGCGAACUGAAUCGCAUAGCCGAGCCCGAUGGUCCGAAUGAGCCAGCGAGACGGACUGGGAGCGCUAACCAGGCUCACAGAGACUGUACAAGCGGGAUCAAAGGGACCGCAGGUGUACCCGCAGUGAGGCAGCGAGGUGGAACACAGGGACGCAGCUCGGGAGGCUCUCUCUGCAAGGCGGCCCGAAGCGGGGUUAGAGUGUGCUGUGCAACACCUACCUGGUUCCACGGUUGGGCAGGGGGCGCAGGAGAGGCUUGCUGCCUUCUCGACUGCACGCUGCUGCCCUCUGGCGAAGGAAGAGGGGGAUGAGAGUGGUGAGGCUUUUCUCCUCCCACUGCUCUCCGAGCCCUCUUCAGACCCAGAGAUGGAGGAACUGCUCUCUUUUUGAAAAUUUGGGUACCGCUGGCUGUUGGACCAGCGGGAGAACAGAAACAAACCCAACCAACAGGAUUUACCACCCGGCCCUCCUCCGGGGGGGGAGAGUAGCCCCACCCAUCUCUGGGUCACCCGUCUCAGGGGUGAUUUUUCACUAACCACUUAAACAGUAGCAGAGACGGGAGGCGUCAUCUUCCUGAGGCGGACACAGUAGAGCAGACUGGGCCGGAGUUUUUUUUUUUUUUCUUCUGCAGGGGACGACACCCUUGGCGACGAGCAGACUGAGGGCCCACGAGGAACUCAAUGGUUUGUCGGGGGAGGCUCCCUGGUCUGCCACUAACUGAGGAGAACUGCUGGGCUCAGUCCCCGACAGUGUCACCGAAAAGGCCACCUUGUGAGAUGGGAGUGUCGAGAAAGCGUUUAGCUUGACGACCUCUUGCACCUCAGCAAGGUAAGCCAGGGGGCGCUUCUGGACCACUGAGGUGGACAUCGUCUGGCCGAAGGCCUGCGCCGUGACUUUGAUCACGGUUAGUCAACAAGCGCAGCUCAACCCCGGCUCAGAACUACCCUCAUGCAUAAAGAGUGCCUUGGCCUCACAUGCAGGGUGGGUGUGGUCUGUGAACAGCCACCCCACCCAUAAGGGUAGUGAGAGAGUAAAAACUUAUGCAGAUUUUGGCAUUCCAUAUUUACGGCACCAAUAUAGCUCCAUACUGCCAAGUUUUUCCAUGCACAUCCGGAACACCCGGGAAAGCAUGGCUGUAAACUCUGAAUCUGAGUCAGCAUAAGCACACACCAUUACAGUGGGCAGCGUCACCCUCAUUUCCAGAGCAUAACAGCCCUCUCUCCGAUGCUGCAAUCGACAUCUGACCCUCAGCUGGAGCCCUGAAUGAAAUGUUAGGUUCCCUAUGAAAAGGACCAGCAAUCCAAUCCAGAGCACAGCAUGUAAUGCACUAGAGAGGGAGGGGCCCUAGGGGGUUGGUUCCCCGAAGGAACCCCUCAACCUCAAGACACCCAAGCCAUUUCACCAAAGUAGACCUCUUCUGGUGCACCAGAGAGGGCGCUACAAUGGAGAUUAGGCAAGGAGACCGCGCAUCUAGAGCGCCGAGCGAGCGCUGGGUUGCCGUGACAACCCGCGCUGCAGCCAGACAGCUCGACGGCACACGACACGCAGAGGAGCGAGAGGUUUGCUCUCGCUGAUCUCCGCGGUCUCCCAGAGUGUCGGGCAGACCCGCGGCUGUGCUUUUACACACAAGCGGCAGCUGGCCAACAACAGAGGGGACUCAAGCUUCCCGGAGAAAGAAGAGUCACGACCGGCGUGUCGACGUGAUCAUGUUCUCAUACGAAAACAUGAACCACCCACGAACAUCGUUUCAGCACGCGCCCAGACAUGUGAAACAGUGAUCGUGGCCGUCAGUGAGGACAGGAAACGACCGCAUCCAGAAACACACAAAUAGAAUGUCAUCUUUAAAAAUACGCAAGCUCUAUUUGUGUAAGCUCUUUUAGGGACUUUACUCUUUUAGAGUGCUGAAGCACGCAGGGGAACGGCCGCCGCAACACAGACAGGGAUUGUGUGCAGCCUGUCGUGUGCUCUUUCCCUCUUUGAAGGCGCUCACUCUUACCAGCCGUAAAAACGGCUUUCAGCGCUCGAAGCGCACCGUACCGGCCGUGAGAACAGCCUUCUGACGCUGUCAAAACAGCUAUUUGCUCUAUAAUGGCAAACGAAACAAAAAACAGAAAAUAAAGAAAGGACUUCAACCCCGCUGCUGUGCUGUUCACCCGCACUCGAAAAAAAAAAAGAGAAGUUCAACCAAAAAGCUUGACUCGUCUUCUUGCAGACACUUACUUGCAGAGAACAGGAACAAACACCGUUCGGCUCCGAAGCGAAAAGCUGAAGAUGCAACGCACCUGCUGCUCGUUAUAUACCCGCGCUGCGAGGCGAGCAGCUGAUGCAUAUGAUUGCAUGCCAAUGUGCAUUGGCUCGUUGUAGUUACACUCGAAGUAGAUUGGCCUCUCUAGCGAGAUUCCUAUUCGUCGGUCUGUCCGACGUACGUCGAACGUGACCGACUGAAUGGGAACAAAUCUGGAGACAAAGGGCUACCCUGCUGUAUACCUCGAUUAAUCUUAAAUCUACCACUUGUACACAUGAAUAAUUUGACUGAACUAUUACAUCCGUUGUAAAUAGUUCUAACAGCAUUUUGGAAGUAAUCUCCAAAACCAAAAUACAUUUGAACAUAAACUGGCUCACGGUAUCAAAUGUUUUGUAAAAGUCUAUCAAUAGCAUCAAAGACUCAGUUGGUAUAAAGCAAUUGUAAUCAAUCAUAUCUAAAAUCAAUUGAUAUUAUUACUGAUAUGUCAUAAACCCUGACUGUUCUUCCUCAAUGAUCUCUUCCAGAUCUUUCUUUAAUCUUUUUCCAAAAACUAUAGCAAAUAGUUUAGCAUCAUUAUUCAGAAGGGUAACUGGUCUCCAGUUGUCAAUGUAAAGUUUAUCCUUAUUAGGCUUAGGAAUAAUUGUAGUAAGACCUUGUUUGAGAGUCGCAGGUAAUUCAAUGCAUUCAAUGGACUCUUUAAACAUGGCUGCUAAAAGAGGAGAAAACUGACCACUGAACAUCUGAUAGAGUUCACUGGUAAACCCAUCGUUCCCUGGACACUUAUUAUCUUUCAAGCCUACAAUACAAUGUUUAACCUUUUCUAGACUAAUAUCUUUGUCACAAAAUAAUUUAAAUUCUUCAUCUAUUUUCUUUGUUGUGUCAGAAAUGUUACUCAAAUAAAUCUGUUUCUCUAUCAUUAUAAGGGUCUGAAGUGUAUAGAUUUUUAUAAAACUGGGUGACAUAUUCAGCGAUAUCUUUAUUGUUUUCACAUACUUUAUUAUUUAUCAUGAGUUUACAUAUAGAUGAUAAUUCCCUAUUACGAUUUUCUAAAUUAAAAAAAUAUUCACCUUGUUCCAUCCACUUCUGUCUACUCCCUAUAAAGUCACCUCUAGCUUUGUCUUCAUAAAUUGUGUCUAAUUGUAAUUGCAAGGAGGUCUAAGUUUAAGAUCUUCAUUUGUUAAUAUUUGUUUACUGGAUAAUUCCAUUAUUUCUUCAAUUAAUUUAUUUUCUUUCUCUUUUUUUACUUUAGCAAUUUUUUCCCCUACACUUACAGCUACGCUUCGUAUUUCAAAUUUCAUUAAUUCCCAAUUAUGACCAAAUUUAUUGAAGACACAUGCCUGUUUCCAAUAUUUUCCUAUAAUUUCAGUGGCUUUAUUUUUAAACCAUUCAUUCUCUAACAAGUUUUUAUUUAAUUUCCAAUCAUUUAUUUUAGGACCAGCUGGACUUACAGCAUCUUUGUUGAUUUUAAUCAUUAUUGUGAUCUGUUAAUAAUGAAGAUUCAAUUUUCACUAAUUCAACUUCAUCUGCACUAUUUGCAGAAAUGAGCCAAAAAUCAAUACGAGAUUGUUUAGUCAAAUCAUUAUUGCUCCAGGUAAAUAUUCUUUGGUGUGGGUAAGUAUAUCUCCAGAUAUCCAAAAGAUCCAAUCUUGCUUAUGUUUUUUAAUUCACAUGUUUUUUCAUUGUUUUUAGGGGACCAGCGGUCUAUUUUUUAUUUUACUCUCAAUUGUUAAAAACAAAUGAUUACUCUUCUGCUUAUUAUUUGUGGCAUAAACAUUUACUGUAAUAAAUUGAGAAAGAUCAAUACUAACGUAGAAUUAUCCAUCUUCCUUCAGUAUCUGUUAGUUUACUGUGAAUGCGUCCUUUGAAUUUACCUUUUAAUAUAACUACCCCUGCAGAUGAGAACCAAACAUCAUUCCCUCACUGACUUCUCCAAAAACUUACAUCUGCUUCACAAGCAUGAGACUCCUGAAUGAAAUAAAAGUCUGCACCUUUGCUUUGACAAUACAAAAAUAAAGAUUUUCUUUUCAGCUGGUUUUGACGUCACUUCCAAGAUGUCGUUAAGUCCUGUUUCUAAUGAGCAUAAACGUAAAAACAAACUUUAACUUUAGACAUUAAGUUUAUGUAAUGAUACAUUCGUUUUUGCUUUUUGUCAGCUGUUUUCAAAGCGAUUAUGUUAUUUUUAUUCUGUUUUUCACAAAACUCGUUGUUUUGUGGCGACAUCACAUGGUCAAUGUGAACAUGACGUCACGUGUGAUGACUGGAACACACUGAGGGCUGAAGUGGGACAUUUAAAUUGGGAAUGCAGCAUAACUUGCGUCGUAGCCUAUGAUUCAAUAGGUGUCAUCAUCAUGUUUAUAAGGAUUUGGGAGACAUUGCAAGCAAUGAAGGGGAAGAUGCAUCUACAGCCAGUGCUGCAGUGUUUGCUGACCCAGAGCAAGAGGCUUUCUCUCCACUGGCCCCUCAAUCAUCUGUGCUUCACUUUGGCUCACAGUGUAACCUCUGACCUUCACAUCGUUCAUCAGCUGUCCAGGCACAGCCCAAGAUGGUCAGUGUGGGACUCGGACAGAAAGGUUUAAGAAACAAACAUCAACUCCACUGCCCAGUCCUGUGCACAGCGAUGAUGAAUCAUCCUCUGUUUUCAAGGAUGAACCUGGUGAUGUGUCAUGGAUCCCAGAGGAAAUGAGAAGUGACUCAUCUGAUGAGGAACCACUGCAGGAAUCUCACCCUGGAUUCAAGUAAGACUUAUUCUUUUAAUAUUAGAUUGUGAAUGACCCAAAGCAGGCAGGGAUCAUUAGAGAUCUGAACGAGAUGAGGGGCGGACUGAUCCUGUCUGGUGACUGCAGGAUGCCCAGCAAGGUUACUAGAGAUUACGCCAGCUCCAGUUUGGAUCCAGCCUCACUUGUGAAGACUUUAGAUGAUGGCAACACUCACGAGGACCUCAGAUAGAUGGACAUACAAAACUGCCAGAUAUUAUCCUUAUAUUGUAAUUAUUGGUCCGGUUUCAAGGACAGGGCUUAGAAGCCAGGAUUAUGUCUUAUAUUAGGACAUUUAAGAAGAUUUUUAAAACAUGCUUUAGAAAAAAAAAAAAAAAAAAUACUGGUGUACAAAACAAUGACACUGACCUAUUUUAAUAUGCUUUCUGUUUAAGGGUUAGUUCACCCCAAAAUGAAAAUUCAGUCAUUAAUUACUCAACCUCAGGGCCGGCCCAAUCCUUUAUGGGGCCCUAAGCAGAAUUUUAUGGGGCCCCUCAGUUAAAAUAACUUAAGAUUAACAGUAUCUUCUUAUAUAAAAAUAUAAGUUAACAAUAUUAAGUUAAAUACUUAAAUAAUGACAUAAAAUGAACAGAUCAGAUGGACCUGUAACAAGAUAACAAUAAUAAAUGUAUUAACAUUAAAGGAAUAGUUCACCCAAAAAUGAAAAUUCUGUCAUUUAGUCACAAGUUGUUUUAAACCUGAAUGAGUUUCUUUCUUCUGUUGAACAUAAAAGUUAUUUUGAAGAAUGUGGGUAACUAAACA